GUAAAAACCUGGGAGGCUGCAACCCAUGGAAGCUGUACGCAUGGGGUAGCAGA
rnacentral:lncRNA from 1 species